rnacentral:rRNA from 1 species
GCCUAACACAUGCAAGUCGAGCGGAUGAGAGGAGCUUGCUCCUGGAUUCAGCGGCGGACGGGUGAGUAAUGCCUAGGAAUCUGCCUGGUAGUGGGGGACAACGUUUCGAAAGGAACGCUAAUACCGCAUACGUCCUACGGGAGAAAGCAGGGGACCUUCGGGCCUUGCGCUAUCAGAUGAGCCUAGGUCGGAUUAGCUAGUUGGUGAGGUAAUGGCUCACCAAGGCGACGAUCCGUAACUGGUCUGAGAGGAUGAUCAGUCACACUGGAACUGAGACACGGUCCAGACUCCUACGGGAGGCAGCAGUGGGGAAUAUUGGACAAUGGGCGAAAGCCUGAUCCAGCCAUGCCGCGUGUGUGAAGAAGGUCUUCGGAUUGUAAAGCACUUUAAGUUGGGAGGAAGGGCAGUAACUUAAUACGUUGCUGUUUUGACGUUACCGACAGAAUAAGCACCGGCUAACUCUGUGCCAGCAGCCGCGGUAAUACAGAGGGUGCAAGCGUUAAUCGGAAUUACUGGGCGUAAAGCGCGCGUAGGUGGUUUGUUAAGUUGGAUGUGAAAGCCCCGGGCUCAACCUGGGAACUGCAUUCAAAACUGACAAGCUAGAGUAUGGUAGAGGGUGGUGGAAUUUCCUGUGUAGCGGUGAAAUGCGUAGAUAUAGGAAGGAACACCAGUGGCGAAGGCGACCACCUGGACUGAUACUGACACUGACCAUGCGA